CCUACGGGUGGCAGCAGUGAGGAAUAUUGGUCAAUGGGCGGAAGCCUGAACCAGCCAAGUCGCGUGAGGGAUUAAGGCCCUGCGGGUCGUAAACCUCUUUUGCCGGGGAGCAGUGGUCCGGACGAGUCCGGGCCGGGAGAGUACCCGGAGAAAAAGCAUCGGCUAACUCCGUGCCAGCAGCCGCGGUAAUACGGAGGAUGCGAGCGUUAUCCGGAUUUAUUGGGUUUAAAGGGUGCGUAGGCGGGCAUUUAAGCCGGCGGUCAAAUGUCGGGGCUCAACCCCGGCCUGCCGUCGGAACUGGGUGCCUUGAGUGGACGAGAAGUAUGCGGAAUGCGUGGUGUAGCGGUGAAAUGCAUAGAUAUCACGCAGAACCCCGAUUGCGAAGGCAGCAUACCGGCGCCCGACUGACGCUGAGGCACGAAAGUGCGGGUAUCGAACAGGAUUAGAUACCCCGGUAGUC
rnacentral:rRNA from 1 species